GCACCCUGUGCUGGGGGCUCCCCACCCUCAGAGAGAGCAAUUCCUGCCCAAAAUCUAAUCUCAACUUACACUUCACCAUCUUAAGGCUGUUCCUCCUUGUCCUGUCACUCCAGGCCCUUUUAAACAAUCCCUUUCCUCUUCCUUGGCUCCUCCAGGAAAGCUGCAAUGAGUUCGCCCCGAAGCUUUUCCACAGCCAGUGCUGUCAGCUCGGGGCAGAGGAGCUGGGCGCUCCCAUCCUCCGGUGCCUCCCCAGGACCGGCUGUGGCUCCCUGACCUCUCCACAGCCAGCCAAACUGCACAAAAACUCACAGACGCGGAGUGUGUGACAACCUGCUCAUCCAGCAGCACCCAGCCCGGGUUUGUUUGGAAAAUAAAAGUGCCAGAAGGAGUCAGGGAAGAGCCAGGGGGUGGCAGUGUUUGCAAAAUCCUUCCCUGCUCCUUGUCCUCCCCGCGGCCACCUGCCCUGGGGACACUGAGCACAAGCAAGGCUGCCGUCCCCUCCAGUCCCAGUUAUCUUAAUGAACCCUCACAGAAAGAGGAUGUGCGUAAAAGAAAUCAAAACUUUCCAAUUCACCUCCCUAUAAUUUAUUUCCACAAUUAAAUAUUCCCGAAGUCUGCUCAUAAAGUGUAAUGAAUACUUUAAAUUUUAUUUUGGAACUUAAUUCCCUGGCUCCCAGAUAAUCCCAGCUGCAUGGCAGAAGAAAAUUGCUACUUGAUUAUUCCAAAAGAAGGAGGAAAAGCCCCUUAAAUCAGAGACAUCAGGUGGAAGCCUGAGGACUCUUCCUUGCACCUCCAGCCUCAUAAAUGACAGCUGCAAUGAUUUGCCUCCACCUUGCAACUCAUUAACCUAUUCAGCUGUUGUCAAAGUUCUUUACAGAAGAUGCCAUCUCCAUGGGGAUCCAAAGCUCCACGCAGAAAAUGAGGCAGGCUUCAGAUGCCCUUGACAUGGAAGUUUUUCUCGCUAAUGGAGAGAAAAUUGGGCCACAGGAGCUUGAUUUUUUUCUCAAGCUGGUGACAGGAAUGACAGGGCUGGAGCCAAGGAGGACUUGUUGGUUCUGUCUGUCAGACCUGGAGUUUCCUGAUGCAGUCUCAAAGUUGGGGAAUGUGAAGAAGGCGUUCCCGCAGCAAUGCAGCUCCUGCAGGAUAACCACACCUUGGAGAGUAUCCUUGUGGAACAGGACUGUGGCCUUUCAGAACCUUUCAGGAAAGGUACAGGGAGCAAGGAAUAAAUCUGCCUGAGAGCUUGCCCUUUUUACAAUGUAAAAGGAAAAAAAAAAAUUGAGUCUUACAAAAGACAUUUUUAACACUUCCAAUAAAAACCUGUCUCCUUUUCUAUCCUCAGGCUAUACUACACAGAAAAAAAAAGAAAAUUCAGUGUAAAACCCCCAAAACAUGCAUAUAAAGUUCAGUUUCACACCCUGUGCCACAGUUGGGAUAUCCCAAGGUGCAAAUGCAAUUUCA